rnacentral:rRNA from 1 species
UACGGAGGAUGCGAGCGUUAUCCGGAUUUAUUGGGUUUAAAGGGUGCGUAGGCGGGAUGCCAAGUCAGCGGUAAAAAUGCGGUGCUCAACGCCGUCGAGCCGUUGAAACUGGCGUUCUUGAGUGGGCGAGAAGUAUGCGGAAUGCGUGGUGUAGCGGUGAAAUGCAUAGAUAUCACGCAGAACCCCGAUUGCGAAGGCGGCAUACCGGCGCCCUACUGACGCUGAGGCACGAAAGCGUGGGUAUCGAACAGG